CAGACCAACCAGCAUCCGCCUCCCACUUGCCACUUUGAUAGGGGUGACUGGUAUCUCCAUCUCCUUAUCUUUGUUGAUCAUGUUUCUGGGUUUCCAAUUGCGUCAACUUAACUGGUUGCCAAUAAUUCUAUCAUCUGAGGGGAAAGCAGAAUCUCAACUGAGCAUGCAGAUGUCCUAUUGAGACUUUGCCCAUAAGGGAGCGUCUUUGGUGCUUAAAAUUCCAUCUUUUGGACCUCAUAUCAGUUGAUGUUUUUAGUUGCAUCGGAAACCAACUCUAAGUGAUUUAAGCAGGAGAGAAAGUUAUUUAAGGAUAUUUAUAGUUCACAGAAUCUCUGGAGGAGCGGGGGGCUAGAAAACCAGACUUGAAGACUACACAAAGAGACUCCGAGUCCCCCUGGGACUGACCUGAGAUGACCAGGGAGCUGGUAUUUUUAGCUUCCAGAGGAGCCUCAAAAUUACAGUUAAGUCUACAGUCAGACAGAAGGAAACUGGCAUUUAUUAAACACCAACUUUGUGCCUGGAA